rnacentral:rRNA from 1 species
GGAAGGUAGGGGAGUGACGUCAAGUCAUCAUGGCCCUUACGGCCUGGCGUACACACGUGCUACAAUGGUCGGUACAAAGGGUUAGCCAAGCCGCGAGGUGGAGCUAAUCCCAUAAAAACCGAUCGUAGUCCGGAUCGCAGUCUGCAACUCGACUGCGUGAAGUCGGAAUCGCUAGUAAUCGUGAAUCAGAAUGUCACGGUGAAUACGUUCCCGGGCCUU